GCCGAAAUAGCUCAGUUGGGAGAGCGUUAGACUGAAGAUCUAAAGGUCCCUGGUUCAAUUCCGGAGAAUCCGCU